rnacentral:tRNA from 9 species
GCUUGGAUGGCCGAGUGGUCUAAGGCGCCCGACUCAAGGAAAGAGCUUUCGGGUCUCGUGAGAGGCGUGGGUUCAAAUCCCACUCCAAGCA